rnacentral:rRNA from 1 species
CGAGGUAGCAAUACCUAGUGGCAGACGGGUGAGUAACGCGUGGGAAUGUACCUUUUGGUUCGGAAUAACUACGGGAAACUGUGGAUAAUACCGGAUAAGCCCUUCGGGGGAAAGAUUUAUCGCCAAAAGAGCAGCCCGCGUUAGAUUAGGUAGUUGGUGGGGUAAUGGCCUACCAAGCCUUCGAUCUAUAGCUGGUCUGAGAGGAUGAUCAGCCACACUGGGACUGAGACACGGCCCAG